rnacentral:lncRNA from 1 species
AGCCCCGCGCUCUACCAGGCAGAGCGCGUGUGGCCGCCGAGCACAUGGACCCACUGGUCAAGCGGGCUCGGCAAGGCCAGGAUGAAGAGAAGCUACGAACUUAGCAUUCCCAGAGCCCCCCGAGUGGAUAUCCGCGUGGAAAGGAUGUUGGCAGCCCCGGUGACCUCGGAGUCACGGCUGGAUCCACCCUCUUGUCUGAUUUUCUUAACUCUACUACGGUAAGAAGAUGCCCUCCAUCAGCAGGCCGUGUCUGCUGGGACCUCUCUGGAGACUUCCUGAACCCUGUGGAUUUACAGUAAGAUGCAGUUUCCUGGGGAGUAAUUCUGGUGGAUACAAAUUCCGGAGUAUUACACCUGGCUUGCCUGGAGAUGUUACAAGUAGCUGGAUGGAUUCUUCAGCCUGGAUGCCCACUGAAAACAAGGACCGAAACUAAGAGGAUUGUAUCUCUACCCUUGACUCAAUGAGAAUGUUUGUUGUCAUCUCUCGGGCUACCUGGAGCUCCCUCUAAAAUGUAAGCCCCUAAGACCCAUCUCCUUUCAAUGCAGUGUUUCUGUAUACCCUUUAAGCGUUCCAGAAGGAUUUUGAGAUCCUUUCCUAAAUCAAAGGUGGAAUAUUUGGGGAUUUGGAAAAUUGAGCAUUUUUUUCCCCACUUGCUUGACUGUAAUGCUAACAUGCUCUCUCUGCUCCAACCUGGAGAAGCCAGUCUCUCAGAAGAACCAGUUGUGUUACUUUGCUGUGAGAUGCCUGCCCUAAGAGAGGAGCAGAAGGUCGGAACGGGUCCUCUAAUGUGAUAAUUAGAUGUGAAGCGUUGACUUAAGAGAUGCCAAGUAACUCAGCAGAUGUCACACAGACGAUAAAUAGCAAAGAUGGAAGUCUUCAUGCCGGAGGCAAUCCUAUAAGACAGCUGAGUUCUGCAGAGCUGGUAGGAGACAGACUUGCUCAGGUGAUAGAUCCAGCCAUGAUACUGACCCUAAGAGAAUGAGACGCUCUGCAGAAGACAGAAGAUUCCUGAAACUGGGAAAGGUGCCUAGAAAUCCUGAUAAGAGUGAAGAAGGAGCUGGCAGAGCAGCCUUCCUCCGCACUAUGAAAGACAUCCAACAGAGAGCAAGUUCCCACCUCACUUCCAGCUUGACUCCUUUUUAUCUCCUAACUGUGGUCUGUGAUGUCUUCAGCAAUGGUAUUAACUAGUUCUGGGUACCUGGAGGCACAGCAGCCAUGUUGAACCUAUGAGGUGAUGAAAAACCAUGCAACUAGAAACCAGAAUGGAAGAAAAGAAGAAGCUGGAUCCUUGACUGAAUUGUCGAUGGGGGAUAGUCCAUCAUCCCAGGGCUAAGACCACCUCCAGAUUUCUUGUUUGGUGAAACAAGUCCUGAUUGUUUACAUUCCCUCGUGUUGAGCUGUCUCUUGCUUGUAGCUGAAAGCAUUUCUAAUAGAUAUUCAGAUUAUCAGCCUUAGCUCCAAGCUAGAAUACUCUAUGGGACCUUAGCUUCUCCAUGAAUUCCUUUGCUCAUCUGUGUAAUGCUCAAUAAAUGUAAAUUGAACCCUGAAUGAGGGACAAUGACA